rnacentral:rRNA from 1 species
UUUAAAGAGAGUUUGAUCCUGGCUCAGGACGAACGCUGGCGGCGUGCCUAAUACAUGCAAGUCGAACGAACGGAGGAAGAGCUUGCUCUUCCAAAGUUAGUGGCGGACGGGUGAGUAACACGUGGGCAACCUGCCUGUAAGUUGGGGAUAACUCCGGGAAACCGGGGCUAAUACCGAAU